CAGCCGCGGUAAUUCCAGCUCCAAUAGCGUAUAUUAAAGUUGUUGCUGUUAAAAAGCUCGUAGUUGGAUAUCAGUCUGUGUGGGCAUGGCCCGGUUGUGUUUAACAGCCGCGUGCUAACGCGGUUCGCCGCAGCCCCUCUGACUUGGUUCAGUAGUCCCGGUCUGCCCAUUAAAUUGGGUCAGGCGGGUGAUUCCUGAUCUUUUACUUGAGAAAAUUAAGUGCUCAAAGCAGGCCAUCGCCUGAAUGCAUUAGCAUGGAAUAA
rnacentral:rRNA from 1 species